rnacentral:rRNA from 1 species
GACGAACGCUGGCGGCGUGCUUAACACAUGCAAGUCGAGCGGUAAGGCCCUUUCGGGGGUACGACGAGCGGCGAACGGGUGAGUAACACGUGGGUGACCUGCCCUCAGCUCUGGGAUAAGCCUGGGAAACCGGGUCUAAUACUGGAUAUGACUCCAUGACGCAUGUUGGUGGGGUGGAAAGCCUUGUGCGGCUGAGGAUGGGCCCGCGGCCUAUCAGCUUGUUGGUGGGGUGAGGCCUACCAAGGCGACGACGGGUAGCCGGCCUGAGAGGGCGACCGGCCACACUGGGACUGAGACACGGCCCAGACUCCUACGGGAGGCAGCAGUGGGGAAUCUUGCGCAAUGGGCGAAAGCCUGACGCAGCGACGCCGCGUGAGGGAUGAC